GAGGGUAUAGCUCAACGGUAGAGUGUGUGCCUAGCAUGCAUGAGGUCCUGGGUUCAAUCCCCAGUGCCUCCA
rnacentral:tRNA from 1 species